UUUCAGUGAAAGAGGCACUAUCAGCAUUGACAUGUACAUGUGAUUUUAGGCAUGAACCAGGAGAGUGAGAGUUUUAGUGUGCCGUGUUUAGAAUUUGCCGAUAUCUUUUUCCCGUUCCAGCAAGUAUUCCUGAUUGUGGGGAUUCUUCCAGUAAUGCUAGAUAUUGGUACUAACAACGAGAAGUUACUUAAUGAUUCUCUUUGAUUUAUUGGAGUUGAGGAGUCCCACAAUCUUUAUGUUCUGUUUGUUUUUCCAUCACUUUUUCAAGGCUGUUCAAUUGGAGUUCCAUCUUCAGAUGGAAGUCGUAUUCUUGGCCUCGGUGACCUUGGAGUUCAGGGAAUAGGAAUACCUAGAUUGGAGGGAGAAGAGUAUCUAUCUAUUGUUGAUGAAUUUAUGGAAGUCGUGCAUACAUGUUGGCCUAAAGCUAUUGUUCAGUUUGAGGAUUUUCAAAUGAAAUGGGCUUUUGAAACAUUACAACGUUAUCGUAAGAGGUUCUGCAUGUUCAACGAUGACAUACAAGAACAAGGAUGAAUAAUCAAUGAAAAAGGAAUGAAGAGGUUUAUCCAUGCAAGCUUCAAACCAAAGCCAAGGAUGUCGAUCCUUCCAGGGGAGUCCAAAGUUCUCCCUUAUUUUUCUCCCUUUAUUUUGAUUUUCAAAAGUUUGCAAUUUUUUAAGUGGGGGUGGGCAAUUGCUUGCAUGUUUAGUCUAAACUUGGAGGUUCAAAUUUUGCCCAAAUUUCAAAAUUUCUAAAAAAAAUUUCCUUACAAUAAUGAGCACUAUACCUUCUUAGAUUACUUAGAUCUUGCAUAAAAAGCAUGACUAGCAACCCUUGAUCACUGAGCUUGGGUUUGUGAUGUAAAAUUCUGAAUGUUGAUGAGUAUAUGUGCUGAAAUUUGAGAAUAAGCUGCCGUGUUUUUUGGUUUAAGCCCAUUUUUAGCGAUAUCUUAUGGAGAUGUGAAUGCAUGAUUGAGAAAAUGGUAUGUGUGUUGUGAAUGCUUGAUUGCAUGCAUAUAAUAAAUAAGUGCAUGGAUACUUUUCUAGCUUUGUCUUCCUUUGUUUCUUUGCCAUGACUUACCUAUGAUGCGCUUAGUCCAAACCUAGCCUAGAUAGAGUUAAAAAAGGAUAGGAGGUACUCUUUAGAAAUUGAGAUGGUUUUAACAAAUUUGUCUUGUCAAACAUGAGUUUGGAGCCUCUUGUCUAGCCACAAUGAACUAAAUCCCUUUAGAAAGGGUGGGCAUUAACAAAUCUUGUUGUCACUUCGAAGGGAGCAGUCAAACUUAGAAACUAAGUGUAGAACCAUAGAAAGGUUACCCCAUCGGUUAUUGUGUGCGUACCAAAGAAAGAAAAGAGAGACUUGCAAAUGUAAAACUUAAGACAGCGAGACAAUUAAGAGCUAAAAAAAACAAAGAACAUAUGCAUUAUACAUCAGAAAAAUCCCAUAAAAAAAUGAAGGGAAACUUCACUUUUGGCCUAACCAAAAGCAGACCACCUACUCUUAGCGUUCUAGACAUAGCAUUGAGUUUGAUGAGGGCUUUGAAAAGAGGAGGAAUCCUCCCCGUUCCACACUAGGGGAAAAACGAGACUUGUCACUCCGAAGGGAGCAGUCAAACUUAGCAUUGAGUUCAAGGUAUCCUUCUUAGAUUCUUGAAUCAUGACUACAUUAGGACUACAAUGAGCACCAUUGUUAUGGAUCAAAAUAAAGUUCCAAAUGUUCAUCCAAUCGUGCCAUCAAAUGUGUCAGAAGGAAAUAUUCAUGUUAGCAUUGGAAAGACGUCAAUAGCAGUGGAAAGAAUUGAAGAAAAAAGUGAAACAAAAGUGAAUGGAGACAGGAAAAUGAAAUUAUCCCAGAAAAGCCAACAAUGUGUAGCAAAUGGUACAAACAAGAGUUGAGAAAAGAUGGGGCGUGAUUUCAUGGUUUCAAAUGGGAAGUCAUCAUGUGUAUUUAAGGGGAAAAUAUUUUGUUUUUCUAGUUCCUUUCCAGAAGAUCGGAGAGCUGAAAUUGUUGAAUGGAUAAAUCAAGGGGAGGCGAGGUUGUUGAAGAUCACAUGAAGCAGAAAGUGCACUUCACUGUUGAAUGUCAUGGUGGGAUACCAAGGAGUACAGACGUUCAUAGUACUUAUGUGUCAAGUCAUCGGGUUCGAUCAUGUUUAGAGGAUGGAUGUUUGUGGGAUACCAAUGGGCACAUUUUCUAUUCUCCUCUUCCUUGCUGUGUCCCUUUGCCUGGAUUUGAAAACAUACGGUUUUGUGUUUCACAAUAUGAUGACAAAGACAGAGUAUUGUUAAGAAAUCUGUGUUUUGUACUUGGGGCCAAGUUUGUGGAGAAGCUGACAAAGAAGGUAACCCAUCUAAUAUGCAAGUUCACCGAUGGGACAAAGUAUGAGGCUGCUUGUAAAUGGGGGAAACAAUGCAUUACAGCUGAAUGGAUAUAUGAGUGUGUCAGCCAGACUGUUCGCUUGUUGGUCAAGACCAUUCAGAAACUUCUCCAAUUGGUGCUUUAUCUAACCAGUGGUCAAAAAGGUAUUUUCUCAGAGCUGAAAGAAAAGAAGAUGUCGGCAAUUCUACUACUGAAGAUGGGACUGUGGGCAUAUGUGAUGGCUUUAGUGAAACACAAACAGAGUCUCAGGUUGAUGACGGUGAAUGGGAUGUAUCCACAAGUAACUGCUCUAUGCAUUGGAAAUGCUAAAUACUUUGGCGGUGGUAUGAAAAUUGUGCCAAAUGCCGAUCCUUCCAACAGGAGUCUAGAGGUAGUAAUUCUUCAGGAUUUCAAGUGGUAUGACUUUAUUCUGAAUUUACACAAAAUAUACAAUGGGACAUAUUUGACGGUGAAAAACGUAACAUCAAGAAGGCUACAUUAAGAUAUAUCAAGGUUGGAGACCAAAGUUGAGAGGCUAAAGUCCUUUUACAUGCUACAUUAAGAUAUAUCAAGGUUGGAGACCAAAGUUGAGAGGCUAAAGUCGGUAGUACAAGUUAAAGAUAUGGAGAUUGCAACAGUUACACAAAUAGUACAAUCUCGAGACUUGCCUAAAUUCUAUGAUUUCUCUCUAUUUAACAUUGAACAAGGAAGUUCUUUUCCACAGGAAGCCAAAGAAAGAGGGGUGACGACGUGGAACUUGGAAUGGCAAGAAAACUGAUAACGAUUUCUAUAAAAGGAUAGUGGAUGCUUAUGAAGUUAAAAAUCAAGAAUUGACGUCAGAGAAUGCUUAUUUAAAGACAUUGACCAGUAAAUGCAGGUUUGCAACAAUUUUGUUAUUGUCUGUGUUUUAAGUUUACUAAAUUUUUAUCAAAUAAAUUUUGGAAGGGGUGGUGAGCAUGCAAUAAAACAAGUUUGUAGAAUGCAUCUAUUCCGUCUUAUUAAUUUUGUGAUAUUGA